CUGUAUAACAUUUUCAGUGGGAUUUUCUCUUGGUGCAGUUCUAACCCUAUGAUGAAAAAUAUCUUUUCUUAAAGUGUAUAAUUACCCUCCGUCACUCUUAAAUCUCCUCUGGUGUCUAAUGGUGAACAGAUGAGCUGAAAUUAAAAAUAAAGGCCUUCUACCAAUUUAGCACCCUGCACAUAAUGUACCUAUAAUGAUAGUUUGAUUGCCAGUGCCCAUUAUUUUGUUGCUGCCUUUUUUUCUAUUACUGCACCAGAGCCCUGGGUUUCAAAAAGAAUGCAGCAUCCUGUUUGAUAAAACCAGAGCAAUUUACAUGAACACCAGUUUUAGCCUGUAUUAGAAAGAUGCACAGAAUAAAGUGGAAAACAUAAUGUAACGCCACGUGGACCAUUUAAUGUCAGUGGCACUCUUCACUUAAAUAUCAUAUUACAUUUUCCUGCACCUCUCAUAUAAGCAGCCGGUAAUGGAGUGUCCCAAGGAGGUGUUGGAGCUCAACCUUCUAAAGCCAGAUCCAACAACUACCCAUUUGAAUAGUUGGCCGCUGGCUCAGAGCCAGUCUCUUGUAUUAUAUGUAGUAAUAGUUUUUUUUUUAUUGACAAAGUAUUCCAUUAUGUAAAUACCAAAUUUAUUUAUCCAUUCUACUGUCGACAUUUCGCCUCCGCGCGGCCUUUCCUCGGAGCCAGGCUGGGGAACCCGGUGAGGCACGCAGACCAGUCCCUUCGAGACGCCCGCCUCGCGGAAUCGGGUUCACCGGCCCUGUCCCGCACGGUCCCCUGGGUCAUCUCCCCCUGCAACCACUUGUCUGAAACUUACCAGAUUCCAACCUUAAGGCAGGAAAAAAAGUGUUUCAUAUACAAACUGAUCAGGGUAUUUGCAGAUAAUUGCGAAUGUCAAAUACUCGGGCGUGAUGACAAAGUGCAGAGAUUGCCAGGGCCAGAGCUUGG
rnacentral:lncRNA from 1 species